CUUGGGCUGGUCACAAUAAAAGGCCACUCUUUAAUCUGCAGUUUGACCUUUAAAGAAAAGACUUUCAUUCAGAUUUCUCACGACUAAUGUUACAGAGAUGCCGUAUAAAGAAGUGGUUAUACGCCGACCCAGAGCACUGCAAACAUGCUCAAUGGAUGACAUGCCUGCAGUGGGAACAUCUGGAAGAUCUUCAUCUCAUGUUUCACCUCCAGACUCUCCUCACAUACAGCCUGCACAGUGUGAAAGAGGCCUCUCAGAUAACCCAAUCAUGACAAUGCACAAAUCAUGCAUUCAUCAACAUCGAUGCAGCUGUAGUCUAUUUUAUCGGUCCAUUAGAUGGAGACAUGACAGAAUUCAAAUAAUGUGAAAACAAAGGCUGCUGUGCAUUCAAAUCUAAUA